rnacentral:rRNA from 1 species
UGCCUAAUACAUGCAAGUCGUACGCACUGGCCCAACUGACUGAUGGUGCUUGCACCUGAUUGACGAUGGAUUACCAGUGAGUGGCGGACGGGUGAGUAACACGUAGGUAACCUGCCCCGGAGCGGGGGAUAACAUUUGGAAACAGAUGCUAAUACCGCAUAACAACAAAAGCUACAUGGCUUUUGUUUGAAAGAUGGCUUUGGCUAUCACUCUGGGAUGGACCUGCGGUGCAUUAGCUAGUUGGUAAGGUAACGGCUUACCAAGGCGAUGAUGCAUAGCCGAGUUGAGAGACUGAUCGGCCACAAUGGAACUGAGACACGGUCCAUACUCCUACGGGAGGCAGCAGUAGGGAAUCUUCCACAAUGGGCGCAAGCCUGAUGGAGCAACACCGCGUGAGUGAAGAAGGGUUUCGGCUCGUAAAGCUCUGUUGUUGGAGAAGAACGUGCGUGAGAGUAACUGUUCACGCAGUGACGGUAUCCAACCAGAAAGUCACGGCUAACUACGUGCCAGCAGCCGCGGUAAUACGUAGGUGGCAAGCGUUAUCCGGAUUUAUUGGGCGUAAAGCGAGCGCAGGCGGUUGCUUAGGUCUGAUGUGAAAGCCUUCGGCUUAACCGAAGAAGUGCAUCGGAAACCGGGCGACUUGAGUGCAGAAGAGGACAGUGGAACUCCAUGUGUAGCGGUGGAAUGCGUAGAUAUAUGGAAGAACACCAGUGGCGA